rnacentral:rRNA from 1 species
GAUGAACGCUGGCGGCGUGCCUAAUACAUGCAAGUCGAGCGAACGGACGAGAAGCUUGCUUCUCUGAUGUUAGCGGCGGACGGGUGGGUAACACGUGGAUAACCUACCUAUAAGACUGGGAUAACUUCGGGAAACCGGAGCUAAUACCGGAUAAUAUUUUGAACCGCAUGGUUCAAAAGUGAAAGACGGUCUUGCUGUCACUUAUAGAUGGAUCCGCGCUGCAUUAGCUAGUUGGUAAGGUAACGGCUUACCAAGGCAACGAUGCAUAGCCGACCUGAGAGGGUGAUCGGCCACACUGGAACUGAGACACGGUCCAGACUCCUACGGGAGGCAGCAGUAGGGAAUCUUCCGCAAUGGGCGAAAGCCUGACGGAGCAACGCCGCGUGAGUGAUGAAGGUCUUCGGAUCGUAAAACUCUGUUAUUAGGGAAGAACAUAUGUGUAAGUAACUGUGCACAUCUUGACGGUACCUAAUCAGAAAGCCACGGCUAACUACGUGCCAGCAGCCGCGGUAAUACGUAGGUGGGCAGCGUUAUCCCGAAUUUAUGGGCGUAAAGCGCGCGUAGGCGGUUUUUUAGUCUGAUGUGAAAGCCCACGGCUCAACCGUGGAGGGUCAUUGGAAACUGGAAAACUUGAGUGCAGAAGAGGAAAGUGGAAUUCCAUGUGUAGCGGUGAAAUGCGCAGAGAUAUGGAGGAACACCAGUGGCGAAGGCGACUUUCUGGUCUGUAACUGACGCUGAUGUGCGAAAGCGUGGGGAUCAAACAGGAUUAGAUACCCUAGUAGUCCACGCCGUAAACGAUGAGUGCUAAGUGUUAGGGGGUUUCCGCCCCUUAGUGCUGCAGCUAACGCAUUAAGCACUCCGCCUGGGGAGUACGACCGCAAGGUUGAAACUCAAAGGAAUUGACGGGGACCCGCACAAGCGGUGGAGCAUGUGGUUUAAUUCGAAGCAACGCGAAGAACCUUACCAAAUCUUGACAUCCUUUGACAACUCUAGAGAUGGAGCCUUCCCCUUCGGGGGACAAAGUGACAGGUGGUGCAUGGUUGUCGUCAGCUCGUGUCGUGAGAUGUUGGGUUAAGUCCCGCAACGAGCGCAACCCUUAAGCUUAGUUGCCAUCAUUAAGUUGGGCACUCUAAGUUGACUGCCGGUGACAAACCGGAGGAAGGUGGGGAUGACGUCAAAUCAUCAUGCCCCUUAUGAUUUGGGCUACACACGUGCUACAAUGGACAAUACAAAGGGCAGCGAAACCGCGAGGUCAAGCAAAUCCCAUAAAGUUGUUCUCAGUUCGGAUUGUAGUCUGCAACUCGACUACAUGAAGCUGGAAUCGCUAGUAAUCGUAGAUCAGCAUGCUACGGUGAAUACGUUCCCGGGUCU